GGAGAGUAUGCGCAUGCGCAUUGCCGUGGUGGUUUAAAAAAUAAAGACAUAAUGGAAAGUAAUUAAUAAAAAUUAAAUAUUUAAACAUUCCCACAAAUGUGCAAUGAACGUGCACAAACACUGUUUAUUAGUAGUUGCUGUUUCUUUCUUUGUUCCUUUUUUUUUUUUUGAAAAAUAACAACGUCUCUGAGGCGCGAAUUCCGACAGUGAGAGGAAUGGCCGGAUACGGGAGACGGGAAGAAACAAGCCGAUUAUGUUCGCGUUAAUUAGGUGGUUGGAAGAUGUAAAAUUCUCAAUUCUGCCAGCUGAACAUAUACGAGAUUUUAAUGAGGAUGAAUAAUUAGCCGGCAUGGAGGAAACGGACCUUUAUUUGGUGGAGUGGCGACAAGAAGCCAAAAGGCGGGUGGCCGGUCUAUGAAGCCUCCAUCAUCAAGCUAGCAGAAAUCCCACCUCUCCUUCUGGCUACAGAGCACUUACUUACCAAGCCCAUGAAAUCGAAUGCAGAUCUUCCUGAUGUCAGAUUUACAUAAAUAUGUCAAAGUCUCAACCUCAUGCUGCCCUCCCCCAUCCUCCUAAACCUGUGGAUACAAAUGCAGAUUUCCUUAAUGUUCAAUGGUGCGUGUUCUUCUAAUGGCCGCCUUCCCACUGGAGGUUUUGAUCCACAGCAAUUUAAAAGGAGGACAGAUCAAAACGGACAUCGUCGCAGAGUGAAGAACUGCCCUUCAUAAGGACACUAUGACAGCCAUAUAUAUGGCAGUAAGGAAGAGGUUUCCCAAUGUGUCCAGAAGGGCUUUGAGGAUUGCAGUGAAAGCUGGGGGAACUGAGACUGCUGGAAAAGGAAAAGAAAUUACAUUUAAAGUAUGUUGACUUGUGUUCAUACAAUCAC